rnacentral:rRNA from 1 species
GACGAACGCUGGCGGCGUGCCUAACACAUGCAAGUCGAGCGGGGUUGAAGCGAGAGGUAACUCGAACUUCUACCUAGCGGCGGACGGGUGAGUAACGCGUGGGCAACCUGCCUCAAGGUCUGGGAUAACAGCCCGAAAGGGCUGCUAAUACUGGGUAUGCUUGUGGCCUCGCAUGGGGCUAUGAGCAAAGGGGAAACCCGCCUUGAGAUGGGCCCGCGUCCCAUCAGCUAGUUGGUGAGGUAACAGCUCACCAAGGCGACGACGGGUAGCCGGCCUGAGAGGGUGACCGGCCACACUGGGACUGAGACACGGCCCAGACUCCUACGGGGGGCAGCAGUGGGGGAUCUUGCACAAUGGGCGAAAGCCUGAUGCAGCGACGCCGCGUGAGCGAAGAAGGCCUUCGGUUGUAAAGCUCUGUCUGGAGGGACGGAAGGAAGUGACGGUACCUCCGGAGGAAGCCACGGCGUAACUAACGUGCCAGCAGCCGCGGUAAAGUCACGUCG